rnacentral:rRNA from 1 species
AUUAACGCUGGCAGAGUGCAUAACACAUGCAAGUCGAGCGGAACGUUUGUUGUAGCAAUACAGUGAGCGUUUAGCGGCAGACGAGUGAGUAACGCGUAAGAAAUCUACCCCGGAGCGGGGGACAACCAGCCGAAAGGUUGGCUAAUACCCCGUAUUAUCCUUUAGAGGCAUCUCUUGAGGAUGAAAGGCGUAAGCCGCUCUGGGAGGAUCUUGCGGCCUAUCAGCUAGUUGGCGGGGUAAUGGCCCACCAAGGCGACGACGGGUAGCCGGCCUGAAAGGGCGAUCGGCCACGGAGGCACUGAGACACGGGCCUCACUUCUACGGAAGGCAGCAGUGGGGAAUUUUGGACAAUGGGGGAAACCCUGAUCCAGCAACUCUGCGUGAGGGACGAAGGUCUUCGGAUCGUAAACCUCUUUUCCCUGGGACGAAUGCCCGCAAGGGCUUGACGGUACCAGGGGAAUAAGCCACGGCUAACUACGU